rnacentral:rRNA from 1 species
GACGAACGCUGGCGGCGUGUCUAAUACAUGCAAGUCGAACGCAGUGGGGACGGGUGAGUAACACGUGGGUAACCUCCCCAUCAGAGGGGAUAACACUUGGAAACAGGUGCUAAACCGAUACUGAUGGAUGGACCCGCGGUGCAUUAGCUAGUUGGUGAGGUAACGGCGCACCAAGGCCACGAUGCAUAGCCGACCCGAGAGGUGGAGCGGCCAAACAGGGACUGGGACACGGCCCAGACUCCUACGGGAGGCAGCAGUAGGGAAUCUUCGGCAAUGGACGAAAUGCUGACCGAGCAACGCCGCGUGAGGGAAGAAGGUUUUCGGAUCGUAAAACUCUGUUGUUAGAGAAGCGGUAACUAACCAGAAAGGGACGGCUAACUACGUGCCAGCAGCCGCGGUAAUUC